rnacentral:rRNA from 1 species
UACGUAGGGGGCUAGCGUUGUCCGGAAUCAUUGGGCGUAAAGCGCGUGUAGGCGGUUCGGUAAGUCCGCUGUGAAAGUCGGGGGCUCAACCCUCGGAUGCCGGUGGAUACUGUCGGGCUUGAGUACGGAAGAGGCGAGUGGAAUUCCUGGUGUAGCGGUGAAAUGCGCAGAUAUCGGGAAGAACACCCGUGGCGAAGGCGGUUCUCUGGGACGGUACUGACGCUGAGACGCGAAAGCGUGGGGAGCGAACAGG